UACGUAGGGUGCAAGCGUUGUCCGGAAUUAUUGGGCGUAAAGGGUGCGUAGGUGGCUAGGUAAGUCGGAUGUGAAAUCCCGGGGCUCAACCCCGGAACUGCAUUCGAUACUGCCUGGCUAGAGUACUGGAGAGGAAACUGGAAUUUACGGUGUAGCAGUGAAAUGCGUAGAGAUCGUAAGGAAGACCAGUGGCGAAGGCGAGUUUCUGGACAGCUACUGACGCUGAGGCACGAAGGCCAGGGAGCAA
rnacentral:rRNA from 1 species